ACGGUUCUUCAAAAACAGUGGUAACAACUGGGCGUGAGAACUACUACAAAAGAAGUAGUCCUCAGUGGGUACCGCCCUCAAGCUCAUCGGUCCACCCACUAAGUCUACAGGGAUAAGCAGGAAUAGUAAAGAAAGCUGGAACAAAUCUACAGUUAAAUAUCGCUAUACUAUCAUACUCUAACUCUAACCCUCUGUAGAACAAUGUCAACUCAGACCCAAUCUCAAAUAAGGACUGUAAUUAUACCCGUUCCUGGGACUGUGAACACACCCGUCCCGCCUGAUUGCGACUAUACAGCUACCUCCACACUAACCAGUCCGUGGAGAGCAAGUCCAACCUGCACGAAUGACACCAACGCAAAAGCACAGCGCCCGUCUCCGGAGUGGCACUCGUGGGAGCUACCCAACCGAGUAUGCAGCGUAUCUCUGUCGAGCUCAAUCAGGCUCUAACAAGCCAAAGUCAAGUGGCUAGGGUCAAAACAGGUUUAGAAACCAAACCCACGUGCCCUCGGUACAAUCUGAGACCAAAAACAGAAAUCUAGGUCCACCGUCCACUCCGACGGCACCUGACAAUCUGAAACAGCCUAAACUCUGCUGUAAAAAUAAGCUCGACAUCCCAGCACGACCGUAAAUGCAUUCUAAACUACCCCAGGUAUCCACCGAGCUGAAACAACAGUGAUACAAUCAAACCACGGCUCCUAGAGCUAAAUCAGGUAGUAGAAUCAUAUGACAUAUCGAAUCGCUGGUUUUCUCCUAAGUCAAGUUUCAAGUCUAACAUGUAUAUUCAUCUAAUUAAUAAUCAUGCUCCCAAUUCAGAUUUCAUACAUGCUACAAUCAAUGAAUUUGAGCUGCAAUAUGAUAUACAAGAACCGAAACAUACAUGUCAACUACACAUGCACUUAGGAGUGAAAUCGAUGAAACACUCACCUCAAAUGCGCUUUCUUGACAGCAAGGAGGUCUCGGAACUGCUGUGAAACUCAGCCGAAAUCACACGAAAACAGCGACUGGAAUACUUGAAGGAUCUAGCGUCGAAAUCCACAAAAAUUCAAUAAUUCAACACUUAAGCUUAAAUUAGCUCAAAUACAAUGCUAAUUUCACUAGAUUACCUUCAAAUUAGCAGUAGCAAGGUUCCCUCAGCAGUGAAUUGGAUGUAAGUUUCUCAGGUUCAAAACUACCCUUCUUCCCAGAUCUGAACUCAGGAUAUCCAAGUUGCAUCAAUAACAAUGCUAAUUUCAGCACUUAAGCUUAAUUAAUCCAACUCCAAUGUCAAAACUCACCUAAUCACAUCCAAAUCUGGCGAGAAGGGUCUCAAAUCCAGUGGAGUAUACUGUGUCUGCCGCGAACGAACCGGCCCCGCCGUAGGGUGUUUCUAGGGCGAGUGGUCAUUCAUGGUAGAGGUUAAAUUUGUUUAUGUUUUAUUUUGAAAUAAGGAUUAUAGGUUUAUGGCUUCCAACAGAUUCAAGAAUCUGCUGUUAAUUACCCUACAUUUUUAGUGUUAAGGAACCCUCGAUUAAGAGACCGAAUAUGAAUGCUUAUAAAAAAGACCAAGCAGGCAAAUAAAAUUUUAUUAAUAUGAUUUGCCUUGUACAUGGCUUAAGCAGGGGCAUACCCCCACUGAAAUUUUAUAAGACUAGAUACUCAAUUUAGCGACUUGAUGGUCGAUUGAAGUUUUGGGUUUAGUUUAACGACUUUUCGGUCAUUUGAAUUUGGGUUUAGUUUAACGACUUUGCGGUCGUUUGAAUUUGGGUUUAGUUUAGCGACGUUUCGAUCGUUUGAAUUUGGGUUUAGUUUAGCGACGUUUCGGUCGUUUGAAUUUGGGUUUAGUUUAGCGACAUUUCAGUCGUUGGUUUUAGUUUAACGACGUUUCGGUCGUUGGGUUUAGUUUAACGACAUUUCGGUCGUUAAGUUUAGUUUAUCGACGUUUCGGUCAUUGGGUUUAGUUUAACGACGUUUCGGUCGUUGGGUUUAGUUUAACGACGUUUCGGUCGUUGGGUUUAGUUUAACGACGUUUCGGUCGUUUGGUUUAGUUUAACGACGUUUCGGUCGUUGGAUUUAGUUUAACGACGUUUCGGUCGUUUGGUUUAGUUUAACGACGUUUCGGUCGUUUGAGUUUGGGUUUAGUUUAGUGACGUUUCGGUCGUUUGGUUUAGUUUAACGACAUUUCGGUCAUUUGAAUUUGGGGUUUAGUUUAACGACGUUUCGGUCGUUUGGAUUUGUGUUUAGUUUAGCGACGUUUCGGUCGUUGGGUUUAGUUUAACGACGUUUCGGUCGUUGGGUUUAGUUUAAUGACGUUUCGGUCGUUUGGUUUAGUUUAACGAUGUUUCGGUCGUUUGGUUUAGUUUAACGACGUUUCGGUCGUUGGGUUUAGUUUAAUGAUGUUUCGGUCGUUAGGUUUAGUUUAACAACGUUUCGGUCGUUUGAGUUUGGGUUUAGUUUAGUGACGUUUCGGUCGUUGGGUUUAGUUUAACGACGUUUUGGUCAUUUGAAUUUGGAUUUAGUUUAACGACGUUUCGGUCGUUUGGAUUUGGGUUUAAUUUAGCGACAUUUCGGUCGUUUAGAUUUGAGAGGCUUUGGAUUUCGGGGUUUUAUUUGUGGACUUUAGGUUUUUGGGAUUUUAUUUGUGGACUUUGGGUUUCGAGAUUUUAUUUGUAGAUUUUGGGUUUUGGAAUUUAUUUGUGGACUUUGGUUUUGGGAUUUAUUUGUGGACUUUGGUUUUGGGUUGGCUUAAACCUCUUGUAUUUGAUUUGGGAUGAAUCGUUAUGCUUUGGUUCGGGACCCAUCAAGACUUGGUUUAAGUUGGGCGACCUUAAAUUUGUUUGGUCGCUUUGGAUUUGGUUUGGGAUGAACCGUUAUGCUUUGGUUCGAGACCCAUCAAGACUUGGUUUGGGUUGAACCGUUAUGCUUUGGUUCAUCAAUACUUGGUUUGAGUUGAAUUCUUUGUGGUUGAGUUCGGAUCGGAUCCACUUUGCUUCAAGUUGAAUCCUUUAUGCUUUGGUUCAGUUUGGAUUGGGCCUAUUUUAGUUCGAGUCAAAUCCUUGGUAGUUUGAUUCGGAUCGGGCGCACUUCAGUUGGAAUCGGAUCCUUUAAGGUUCAGUCCAGGUUGGACCCACUUUGGUUCGAGUCGAAUCCUUUCCGGUUCGGUUUGGAUCAGAUCCACUUUGGUUCGAGUCGAAUCCUUUGUGGCUCGGUUCGGAUCGAAUCCACUUCGGAUCAAGUUUAAUCCAUUUGGUUCGGUUCGGAUCGGAUCCACUUUGAUUCGAGUCGAAUCCUUUGUGGUUCGGUUCGGAUCGAAUCCAUUUCAGUUCGAGUCAAAUCCUUUGUGGUUCGGUUCAGAUCGAAUCCACUUCAGAUCAAGUUGAAUCCAUUUGGUUUGGUUCAGAUCGGAUCCGCUUCGGUUCGAGUCUAAUCCUUCCUGGUUUGGUUCGGAUUGGAUCCUCUUCGGUUCAAGUUGACUUCUUUCUGGUUCGGUUCAAGUUGGAUCCACUUCGGAUCAAGUUGACUCCUUUUUGAUUCGGUUCAAGUCGGAUCCACUUCGGAUCAAGUUGACUCCUUUCUGGUUCGGUUCAAGUCGGGUCCACUUCGGAUCAAGUUGAAUCCUCUGUGACUUGGUUCAAACCGGAUCCGGUUCGGUUCAGUUCGGAUCAGAUCAGCUUCAUUUCAAGUUGAAUCCCUUAUGGUUUGGUUCGAAUAGGCUCCACUUCAGUUCGAGUCAAAUGCUUCCUGGUUCGGUUCGGAGUGGAUCCGCUUUGGUUUAAGUCGAAUCCUUUAUGAUUUGGUUCGAACCGAAUCUGGUUCGGUUCGGAUCAGAUCGGAUCCACUUCGGUUCAAGUCAAAUCCUUUAUGAUUCGGUUCGGUUCGGAUUCGGUUCGGUUCAGUUCAGAUCGGAUUCACCUUGGUCCUGUUCGGUUCGGUUUAGACAGGAUUCGGUUUGGUUCGAAUCGAAUUGGAUCCACUUCGGUUCAAGUCGAAUCCUUCAUGGUUUGGUUCGGUUCGAGUCAGAUCCUUCAUAGUUUGGUUCGGUUCGAGUCAGAUCCUUCAUAGUUUGGUUCGAAUCGGACCCUUCAUGGUUUAGUUCGGACCGGACCUACUUUGAUUCGAGUCGGACCCUGAUCGGAUUGAACCGAAUUCAGCUUGAGUCGGUUCAAGUCGGAUCCCGUUCGGUUCGGAUGAGAUCCGGCUUGGUUCAGUUCAGAUCAGAUUCACUUUGGCUCAGAUUGAAUACUUUAUGGUUUGGUUUGGACGGGAUCGGGUUCGGCUCGGAUCCGGUUCGGACCGGAUUCAGUUUGGUUCGAGUUGACUCCUUUUUGGUUUGGUUCAGUACGGAUCCGGUUCGGUUCAAUUCAGACCGAAUUCAUCUUGGUUCAGUUCAGAUCGGAUUCACCUUGGUUCAAGUCAAAUCCUUUAUGGUUCAGUUCGGUUCGGAUCCGGUUCGGUUCAGUUCAGAUCGGAUUAACUUUAGUUCUAGUCAAAUCCCUUAUGGCUCGGUUUAAGCUGAACCGACUUGUAAUUUGUUCGACUUGGCUUGGUUCGAAUCUCCUGUGCUUUUAUUUGAGUUGAACCCGGCAUAUGCUUUGGUUCUGCUUGACUUAGAACCCUUCUGUGGUCCAAUUCAAUUUGAACUAACUCGUGGUUCGGUCUACUUGAUCCUCAUGUGGUUCAGUUUGAGUUGAACCUACUUGUAAUUCCGUCCAGAUCGAACCGGUUCAUUAUUUAGUUCAAAGUUUUUGAGUCUCAGUUUGAUUUGAAUUGAACCGGCUUAUGAGUAACUGAUAAAUUGGACCAUUAAAUAACUCAAAUUCAAUUCUCAAAAAAAAUUUUCUUUUUGUUCUUUUAUUUUUUCUUUAUUUUUUCUUUUUUUUUUAUCCUUCUUCUCUUUUUCUUUUCUUCUCUUUUUUUUUUUUGUGCCGACUGUGAGAGAGAGGGAGACACCCAACUCCCUCUCUGUCAUCUUCUUUUUUUUUUUUGUUCUUCUUUUCUUUUCUUUUUAUUCUUUCUUUUCUCUUUUUUUUUGUGUUGACUGUCGGAUAGAGAGAAGUCAAACUCCUCUUUUUUUGCUUUUUUGCUCUUUUUUUUAUUUGUCCAGAUAUUUGAAAUUUCGUCUUUUUUUUUUUAUACAAAAUUUUACACAUCAAGCAAUAUGAUCGAAUCGAACGAAGAUGGCGAAUCAAAACAGUUCUUGUCCAUUUUUUUAUUAUCAUUUAUUGUAUCACGUUUUGUUCAAGUACGCAGAUUUAUCGUGUUGAGCGUAUCACGAAGAUGGCCGCUUAAUUAAUCUUUUCGACCAUGUCGGGCCUUUCACGAAGAUGGCCGCACGGUUUACGCUUUCGACCAUGUCGAGCCUAUCACGAAGAUGGCCGCACGGUUUUCGUAACAAGAUAAAUGGUGCUCGAUCACCCAUUUUGACCAUGUCGAGCCUAUUAUGAAGAUGGCCGCACGGCUUACAUAAUAAAACAUCCGAUUCGAUCAAUCAUUUUGACCAUGUCGAGCCGAUCACGAAAAUGGCCGCACGGUAUAGAGAUUAACAAUACAUACGCACGACGAAAGUGAUGAUUUAAUGUCAGAUUUGAUCGGUUCGAAACCUAUCACGAAGAUGGUCGGGUUGAUCAAACCAACAAAAAGAUCGAACUUACGCUAUGCGUAUGCAUGCGUAUCUCCUAUUAUUGUAGAAGUCGUCGUGAUUGUCGUUGGGGAAGUCGCCAAGAUCGCCGCCGCCAUCGUCGUCGUCGUCGUCGUCGUCGUCAGAAUCGUCGUAGCCGUCGUCAUCGUGAUUGUGCUUCAACUUUUCUUUUCUUUUUUUACUUUCUCUUUUCUCUUUUUUUUUUUUAUUCUUUUUCUUUUUUUUUUUUUGCUUUCAUUUUUUUUUUAAACCUUCCCUCCAAAAAAAAAUCCUCUCCCUUGAAUUCAUGGUCCUAUUUAUAGUGGCUUUAGGACCUUUUCAAUUUGGGAAGUAAUUUAAAAUAUUUUGAAAAUAAGGCACUGAUAUUUUCUUUAUCUCUUUCCUUGUUGGCAUCUAAUCUUCUAAGGAAAGUGAUAAUUAAAUCACAACUUAAUUUCUUUCCUUCUACAUCCUCAAUUUGAAUUUGAAUUUGAAUUUUAUAUCUCAAGCAAAGUAUGCUGUCAAUUUGAAUUUGAUUUUUUUUUUUUAUCUUAAACAUACUGAGAUAUCUAACUCAGGUCCAAACUUCCCCUGCUUCCAAAGAUAGCAUCAAGAAAACCCAAAAAAUAGAUUUUCAGCUCAAAGUCACCAACAGUCCAGAAAAAUAUAGAAUCGACCAAGCUAACCUCAACCAAAAUCUGCAAUUCUGGGCUUCCUGGAUUCCUCUGGAAGUCUAGAAUCCAGCAAACCAAGUUUCACUGCAAUCUGACCUUCCUACGACGCACACGAGCCAAAACACCGAUGGUCGUCGCUGGAAAACUGCAGAAUCAGCACUCCUCAAGCUGAAUUUGUGGACCUUUGAUGCAAUUUGAGUGAUUUGGAGGGGUUGGAAUGCAUUUGUAAGCUUCCCUGUGAGAAAGAGAGGAAAAGCGCUUACCAGGGACGUCUCCCACCUAUUUAUAGGGCCGUAGGAUGGUCCACUAAGCCCCAAGAACACAAGCUGCAAAUCUGGUACUCUGCAGAAAUCCCCAUUUCCGGGCACCCAAAACCCCUUUUUGGGCGUCCGAAACAUCGAGGCUGCUCUACAGUUGCGCUUCGGUUCCAUCGCCGCGGUGUGCUGCGCCCAUAACCGGCUUCGGCGGACCUCACCUACCACCAGCCACGUGUCAGCGCAAACGAUACUCACGAGGUGAACUUUCGGACCCACAUCCGGGUGCCCGAAACAUGGAUCCGAAUUGGCUUCCAGUUCUGUCCAGUUCUGCACUCAACUUCUGGGCAACCCAAGGCGAGUUCUGGGCACUCGAAUUUAGCAAAACUCCAGUUUUGCUUAUUUGAGUGCGCCGAGUCCAUUUCUGCAUCCAUUUUGCGCAAAAACGACUCCGACUCAGUCCGACACUCUCCAGAUGUGUCGACCAUUCACUAACACUGAAGCCAAUCCUAUCCAAAGCUCAGAGACACUACAUCCUCCCCCACUACAAAAAGUUUCGUCUGCAAAACUGAAUCAUACCUCAAUUCUGAGCCUCGAAAAGGUAGGGGUAGGAUUCUCUCAUCACCGUCUCUGGCUCCCAAGUCGCCUCCCGCUCCUCGUGAUUACUCCACUGCACCUUUACAAAGGGUAUGACCCGAUUGCGCAAUUCCCUCAAAUCACGAGUCAGAAUCCGCACCGGUCGCUCCUCGUAUCUCAGAUCCUCGCCAAUCUCUAUCGGAGUAAAGUCAAUCACGUUGGAGGGAUCGAACACAUAUCUCCUCAAAGCCGAGACGUGAAAAACAUCGUGAAUGCCGGCUAGUCGUGGAGGAAGAGUAAUUCUGCAAGCAACUGGCCCGACUCGCUCCAAAACCUCAAAAGGGCUUACAAAACGUGGACUGAGCUUUCCACGUACUCCAAAUCUGCGAAUCCCUCUGGACGGCGAGACUUUAAGAAACACAUGAUCUCCAACCUGGAACUCCAAAUCUCUUCUCCGGGUAUCAGCAUAGCUCCUCUGCCGACUCUGGGCUGCUAAAAUGUGACGUCGCACCACUUUCAGCUUUUCCUCAGCCUCAACCAGAAUCUCAGGCCCAAGCGUCCUCCUCUCACCCACAUCACUCCAAAACAAAGGGGAUCGACAUCUGCGUCGAUACAACGCCUCAAACGGAGCCAUCUGAAUGCUCUUUUGAUAGCUGUUGUUGUACGCAAACUCAGCCAGUCUCAAAUGUCGAUACCACCUUUUUCCAAAGUCCAAGACACAUGCCCUCAGCAUGUCCUCAAGAGUCUGAAUAGUCCGGUCUGACUGACCAUGUCUGUGGGUGAAAACGCUGUGCUGAACUGUAACUGAGUACCCAAGGCUGUCUAAAGACUCCUCCAAAAGUGCGAGACGAACCUCGGGUCUCGAUCUGAUACCAUCGUAGUGGGCACGCCAUGCAACCUCACUAUCUCAUCCAGAUAUAGCUGAGUUAGCCUUUCCCUGGACCAAGUGGUCUGAACAGGUAGAAAGUGAGCAGACUUAAUCAGUCUGUCCACUAUCACCCAAAUAGCAUCGAAACCACCCUGAGCUCUAGGCAACCCGACCACAAAGUCCAUUGUGAUCUGCUCCCACUUCCACUCGGGCACUGGCAGACUCUGAAGCUUGCCAGCAGGUACCUGAUGCUCGGUCUUUACCUGUUGACAAGUCAGACACUGAACCACAAAUCUGCCAAUGUCUCUCUUCAUUUUAUUCCACCAAAGCUGGGCCUUUAAAUCAUUAUACAUCUUGGUUCCACCAGGGUGAACCGUAUAAGGUGAACAAUGAGUCUUUCUCAAAAUAUCCUCUCGGAUCUCUGAAUUCAUAGGCACACACAGUCGGUCCCUGUAUCGCAGUACUCCUGAGCUAUCUACAGCAAAACCCUUAGUCUGUCCCCUCUCAAACCGCUCUCGAAUCCUCGACAAGUGUGGAUCUCCACUCUGUUUCUCUCGAAUCCUAUCCAACAGAGUGGGCGGCAAGACCAUAGAUAUCAGUCUCGCAGUAGAUCCAGGGGACACUAUCUCGAGCCUAAGCCGCUGCAGCUCCUCGAGUAACGGCCUCUGCUGAGUGAUCAACAUACUCAAGCUCUACACUGCCCUCCUGCUCAACGCAUCUGACACCACAUUCGCCUUACCGGGAUGAUACUGAAUACUGAUAUCAUAGUCCUUCAGUAACUCCAACCACCGGCGUUGUCUCAGAUUCAACUCCCUUUGGGUGAACAGAUACUUGAGACUUUUGUGAUCGGUAAAAAUAUCACAGUGCUCGCCAUACAAGUAAUGCCGCCACAACUUCAAAGCAAAGACUACUGCGGCCAACUUCAAGUCAUGCGUAGGGUAAUUCUUAUCGUAAUCCUUUAACUGCCGUGAAGCAUAAGCAAUUACCCUACCAUGCUGCAUCAACACACAGCCCAAAUCACUGUGUGAUGCAUCACUGUAAAUCACAAAUCCUUCCCCCAUCACUGGAAGGGCAAGGAUAGGAGCCGAUGUCAACCUCUGUCUCAACUCAUCGAAGCUCCUCUGAUAAUCCUCACUCCAGAUGAACUUAAUUCCUUUACGAGUCAAUCGAGUGAGGGGUGUGAAAAGUUUCGCAAAGCCUUCCACAAACUGACGGUAAUAACCAGCAAGUCCAAGAAAACUCCUCACCUCUGUCACCAUCGUCGGUUUAAGCCAAUCCCGAAUAGCAUCAAUCUUCUUCGGGUCCACUGCCACUCCAACUGCAGAUAUCACGUGGCCCAAGAAAACAACCUCUCGCAACCAGAACUCGCACUUUUUUAACUUGGCAUACAACUUCUUCUCUCGCAGAAGCUGUAGCACAGUCCUCAAGUGCUCCUCAUGCUCGGUAUCGCUCCGGGAGUAUAUCAGAAUACCAUCAAUGAAGACUAUCAUAAACCUAUCCAAGAACGGCUUGAACACUCUGUUUAUCAAAUCCAUGAAUGCGGCAGGGGCAUUCGUCAAUCCAAAAGGCAUCACCGUAAACUCAUAAUGCCCGUAUCGAGUCCGAAAAGCCGUCUUGGGAACAUCCUCGGCCCUCACCCUCAUCUGGUGGUAACCUGAUUGGAGGUCAAUUUGCGAGAAGACACAAGAUCUUUGUAGCUGAUCAAACAAAUCAUCAAUGCGCGGCAAAGGAUACUUGUUCUUAAUUGUCACUUUAUUCAGCUCCUGGUAAUCCACGCAUAACCUGAGCGAACCAUCCAUCUUCUUCACAAACAGCACCGGCGCUCCCCAAGACGACACACUGGGUCUAACAUACCCCUUAUCCAUCAAAUCCUGAAGCUGCGCCUUUAGCUUUCUCAGCUCCGCCGGUGCCAUCCUGUAAGGUACCUUCGAGAUUGGUGCAGUUUCAGGAACUACAUCAGUCACAAACUCUAUCUCCCUCUCUGGCGGCAUCGUAGUCAACUCAGGGGGGAACACAUCCGGAAACUCGCGGACUAUAGGAAUAUCCUCGAGUCCCAGCGCCGCCGUAGGCACCUCUGUAACAGUUGCCAGAAAAGCAAUGCAUUCUCUACUCAUCAGCUGUCGAGCCCUCGCCGAAGAUAUCCAAGUGGCAAACAAAGUACUCCUGGAGCCUCUAAAAGUGAACUCCUCCUAGCCUAGCUCGCGGAACGUCACAGUUCUCGCUCCAAAGUCGAUAGUAGCAUAGUACCGCUUCAGCCAAUCCAUACCGAGCACCACGUCAAAGUCCUGCAGCUGCCCUAACACCAACAGGUUUGCGGUCAUGAUUCAAGAAUCUAACUGCACCAGACAUGACCAACAACACUCAGCAACCUGUAAAAUAUGGUCGGGGAUCUGCACCUCUCGUGCCUGUGACAAAGAUCCUAACUCUAGACAAUGCAACAAUGCAAAUGCUCGGCUAACAAAAGAAUGCGAGACAACGGUAUCAAAAAGAGUACGAGUGCGAAUGCGGGAAAUCAAAAUGAUACCUGCCACCACUCGGUCGGCUGCUGUAGAGUCCUCCACCUGAGCUGCGUAAACUCUGCCACUCGGUGCCUGCUUUCGCCGCUCAGCCUGACGCCGCUCAGCCGACUCGGUGCUGCUCCAAAGGACUGCUAGAAUGCCGGCUACGCUGAUGCAACGGAUGGUGCUGGUGAUGCUGCACGAGGAUAAGCUGACCUCAUAUGCCCAGGCUGACCGCAAGUGUAGCAAUGGCCCUCUCUCUGCUCGCACUGUCGUGGCCAGUGUGGUCCCCCGCAGAUCACACACUGCAGUGUCCUCUGAGUCUGUCCCUACUGACGGGAUCCCCUGGAACACUGACGCCUCGAAGACCCACGAUCCUGAGAGCGUGAUCGUGGCGGUCUCGGCGGACGUCUGCUGCUCGACUGUCCAGCAUCACUUAAAAAGGGGCGCUUCCGGUCCUGACUCUGCCCCACCGCCUCAGUCCUCUCUCGAAUGGAAGCAUCACCUCUCUCAACCCAAAGAGCUUGCUCCAUCGACGCAUCCAAGGUCUGCAACCUCUGCGCAUGAACCAACCGGAAGAUCUCGGGCCUAAAACCCUGCUCAAAGAGGUAAACUCUGUGCGCCUCAUCCCUGGCCAAAAACGGCACACAGUUCAAGAGUCUCCCGAAUGUACUCCUGAACUGUGCGCUCGCCCUGCUAGAUCUUUUUCAAAUCUUCUUCGAGCUUCUGUUUCACGCUGUUGGAAAAAUACAUCCUGAACAGUAUUCCACAUAACUCGUCCUACUUCAUCUGCAGCGGCACCAAUCCAUAAUCUCCCCUCACCCUCUUCCACCAGGCGUGAGCGUCGGCUACCAAACAGUGAACUCCCAGGUGUCCUGCUCUCUCUUCGGAAUGAAUAGAUCAUCGAAUAGAUUUUCCAUCGCACUGACCCAGCCCUCAACAACCCAGGCCUCAGUGCAACUGGCAUCGAAGGUCGGCGGAUCAAAAUGGCGGAAAUGAGCCAACCUCUCUGUCAACCGCCCCUGCUCGGCCUCAGUCAUCUAUACCGGCCCUCUAGGAGGCGCAACUGGCGCUGUGGGAAUAUCCACUGGCGGAGGUACAGCUACGGCUGGUGCUGUCGCUGGAGUAGUCGGAGGUGGAACCGCUUGCUUUGAUGCUCUUGGUACUGGACCUUGUGGCCAAGCUACCCUCUCACACAACCUCUCCAACAACUUUCCAUGCCGCCUCGUCACCUCUGUCAGGGCGGCUAUCUGUGCACUCAAAUCAGGAGAUGCUCUCGCCUCUGGUGGUGCACUCAGCUCUGCCCGCUCAGGCAUCUCAGGUGGUGCGGCGUGAUCCCUGAGCGACAGUUGACCUCGGCGACGAUAUAUAGCUGUAGCGAACAAAACAGGGGUCAGAUACAACAGAAACACUCUCGACCCAAUCAAACGAAAGUCUAGAAGGCAGCCCCCUGUUUCUCCUCAAAAUUAUGUCGUCUGCAGCAAACAUAAUUUUUCAGGCAAAAAUAGGAACUCGUCCAAUCACUCACUCUACUUAAGGAGGAGUUAGAACAAUGAAUCAUUGACUUUCGCAAUAAAUCACGCCUCUCGCGUCUUGCCCUCCUAAGGUUUGCCAACUUAGGGUUCCUAGGUUCCAACGACCUACAGCUAAGCUCAGAUACCAACUUAAUCUGUCACACUCCGGAUUACUCGUUUUUUCGGGCUCGCUAACAGACCCGUCGUAUACAUAGGUAUUUUCCCUAUAUACGAAGCGAAAAAAAUAGUACCUGUAAUCAUACAAUACUACAAAUAGUAGUAUAGAGCAGCUAGAAAAAUAAACCAUAUAUAAAAACUAUGGUUCAAUAUAUACAUGUGAUUCAGGUAUACAAAUACUCGCUCUAGCGAGAUAACAACAACUGUAUGUAAAGACCCAAAAACUACAACUACCUGUAGCUCGUGCUCCUCUAGCUCUGCAACUCGACUGGAAGGGCUCUAACUUGCGACACCCUUGCCACGAUCAAGAUCAACAACAGCAGCAGCCGAAGGUGACGGCUCUGAAAAAAUAGUGAUAACAACUGGGCGUGAGAACUACUACAAAAGAAGCAGUCCUUAGUGGGUACUAGGGGUGGCAAUCCAGCUCGCUGUUCGCGAGCCAGCUCGUGUUCGGCUCGAAAUGAGGCUCCCGAGAUAUCGGCUCGCUCGUUUAGUAACACGAGCCGAACACGAGCUGGGGUCAGCUCGCUCGGUUCAGCUCGAUAACAGCUCGAAUACAUAAUAAUUUAUAUUUAUUAAAUUUAUUUAAUUAAUUUUAAUAUAUAAAUAAAUAAUGUAUAUAAUAUAUUAUUUAUUAUUUUAUUUUUAGGCCAAAAUAAAAUAAAUACGAGCUUAAUAUAAAGACUCAUAUAAUAUAAUAAAGUUUCAACUAUUAGAUCAAAGUCAAAUAGAUAAGAUUUGAUAAAUUUAUUUUUAUAUAUAAUUUAUCUAAUCAUUUUUAAUUUAUGUUUCGUCUGGCCAGCUCGUGAGCAGCUCGUGGUUUGGCUCGUUAAUGAACGAGCCGAAUACGAGCUAAAUUUUCGGUCGAUACUUUAACGAGCUAGCUCGUGUUCUGGUGUUUAAUAAACGAGCCGAACACGAGCCGACCCCAGCUUGCUCGUGUUCGGCUCGUUUACACUCCUAGUGGGUACCGCCCUCAAACUCAUCGGUCCAUCUACUAAGUAUACAGGGAUAAGCAGGAAUAGUAAAGAAAGCUGGAACAAAUCUACAGCUAAAUAUCGCUAUACUAUCAUGCUCUAACUCUAACCCUCUGUAGAACAAUGUCAACUCAGACCCAAUCUCAAAUAAGGACUGUAAUCAUACCUGUUCCUGGGACUGUGAACACACCCGUCCCGCCCGGUUGUGACUAUACAGCUACCUCCACACUAACCAGUCCGUGGAGAGCAAGUCCAACCUACACGAACGACACCAACGCAAAAGUAUAGCGCCCGUCUCCGGAGUGGCACUCGUGGGAGCUACCCAACCGAGUAUGCAGCGUAUUUCUGUCGAGCUCAAUCAGGCUCUAACAAGCCAAAGUCAAGUGGCUAGGGCCAAAACAGGUAUAGAAACCAAACCCACGUGCCCUCGGCACAAUCUGAGACCAAAAACAGAAAUCUGGGUCCACUGUCCACUCCGACGGCACCCGACAAUCUGAAAUAGUCUAGACUCUGCUGUAAAAAUAAGCUCGGCAUCCCAGCACGAGUGUAAAUGCAUUCUAAACUAUACCGGGUAUCCAUCCCGCUGAAACAGCAGUGAUACAAUCAAACCACGGCUCCUAGAGUUAAAUCAGGUAGUAAAAUCAUAUGACAGGUCGAAUCGCUGGUUUUCUCCUAAGUCAAGUUCCAAAUCCAACAUGUAUAUUCGUCUAAUUAAUAAUCAUGCUUCCAAUUCAGAUUUCA
rnacentral:lncRNA from 1 species